GCUAUUAAAGUUUAUAGGAAUUUUUAAUUUGUAAUUAAAGGGUUUAGGUAGCU
rnacentral:tRNA from 1 species